AUCCUGGCUCAGGAUGAACGCUGGCGGCGUGCCUAACACAUGCAAGUCGAACGAAGCAUAUAGGACGGAGAUUCGUCGAAGACUUAUAUGACUUAGUGGCGGACGGGUGAGUAAUGUAUGAGCAACCUGCCUUUCAGAGGGGGACAACAGUUGGAAACGACUGCUAAUACCGCGUAAUGUAUCAUGGGGGCAUCCCUGAGAUACCAAAGGAGCAAUCCGCUGAAAGAUGGGCUCAUAUCUGAUUAGCUUGUUGGCGGGGUAACGGCCCACCAAGGCGACGAUCAGUAGCCGGACUGAGAGGUUGAACGGCCACAUUGGGACUGAGAUACGGCCCAGACUCCUACGGGAGGCAGCAGUGGGGAAUAUUGGGCAAUGGGCGAAAGCCUGACCCAGCAACGCCGCGUGAAGGAAGAAGGUCUUCGGAUUGUAAACUUCUUUUAUGAGGGACGAAGGACGUGACGGUACCUCAUGAAUAAGCCACGGCUAACUACGUGCC
rnacentral:rRNA from 1 species